ACACUCUUGUUAAGUUAUCAAAGGUACGUAAUUCUUAACUAAUUGCUUGAAUUUGUAAGCUUAUGAAUUUGUGGGAUUUUGAUGCUUUAAUUUGGUUUCUUUUAGGGUAGAAUGGAGCGUUAGAUGAAAUUUGAUUAAAUUGGGGCUAAUUACAAUAUUGUUUCUUUCAAAGGUUUGGAGCUAAAAAGAGGGAAAUGAAAAUUUCCACCGUGUGCAUUUAUGAAGUACAUUUGGAUGAACAUUUAUUUGCUAUUUAUAUUUUGAUUCUCAGUGGUGUUAUUAAUUUAACAAGCUCUUGUUUAAGCAUGUUUGGCUCAAAUUUUUAUAGGUUUGGCUAUUCAUAGAUUUUCAAAUUUCAAUUUUUAUGAGCAAGUUUAGGUCUGAUUAGUACAUUCAAAUAUGGUGAUACUAUAUAAUAGUUACAUUUUACACAAUGCACCUUUUCCAUCUCCCUAAAAUGUAGCUUGAAUUUUCUCCUAGUUCGGAUUGAAAGGAAGAUCAUUGUUAAUUUUUUAUGAUUGCAGUUAAUAGGUUUUACAUGUUAUCGCAUCAGCAAUUUUCUUUAUAUCUGUUUCCAAGUACUAAAUUGGUCCAUAGUAAAUGAUGUUGAUCCAUUUCUUGCUAAAUGUGUGUGGGAGAUAAGCAUCUAAUAUAGUUUCACAGUAGAUGUUGAACCCUUCUAGUUUCAUAGUAGAUGUUGAAAAAAUGUAAAGUACUAUUUUUUGGGUGGAUUUGGGAUUACAGUACAAUGAUAUUUGCCGCCUGGGCAAUCUUGCAAAAAUUAGGAUUUGCAAAAAGAAAAUGAUUAGGGAUCAGUUCUAGGGUUAAAUUAUAUAACAAAACCCAAACAAACACAAUUGCUGCAAAGUUAUUGGAAAUUUAUUGUAUUUCUACUUGCUUCUAUAGCAUCAUUCCUCGUAGGAUCCAUCCUUCACGCCAUUAUAAAAUAUCCUUUCAAUGCCUAUUAUGCAUAAAGUACUGCAUUAAUCAAAUGUCAAAACUAUCUAUGACUAUUUAAGCAGAAUUCACAUUAAUUUUCGAUAAGCUAUCCUAAGUUGCAAAUUUAUCUACUAUCCAUUUUGAUUUACUUCAAAUUUGCUAAGUACUCAAUACAUGCAUUCCGACCAUUCCUAGAAGAGGGAACAAGUCCUAAAAUAACCACUUUCACAAGUAGUGCAAUGAAAUCUUAAUUAACUGUUAAAAGAUUACCAUUAUAUACAGUUUUGCAAAAGAAGAAAACAGGUACUUUUGAUUUUCUUAACAAAUAUGGUCUUAACACCUGAAAUUCAUAAAAGUUCUGAAGUCAAUAUCUAGAUUGAAGCAUUGUAAAGAUUGUUGUCACCCAAAAUAAUGAAUAACAAACUAAGGUUUGCUGCCCAUAUAUGCCAAUCAAAAUAUCAGUUACAUCCAUCUAUGUAUUGAUUAGACUACACUGAUAAUCUCCAAAUAAUAGACAGGUGUGAAAAUCUAUGUAACUACAAUGAUAUAACUUUGUAAUUAUCAUUAAAUGAUAGAAGAUAGUUUUUAGAACUUUUAGUUUUUUUUUUUUUUUUAAUGCUAAAAUGUUGGUAAUUUUCUUUAAGUUAAGAUUAUCAGUAACAUGUUUACAAUCCCUCGAUAAAGAUAUUAUCACAUUCAUCAAUCUGUGCAUAACUCAUACCCAUAAUCUCCAGUUGAUACAGAAAAUAAGUACUUUUGAUUUUCUGUACAUCAAAAUUAAGGAAAUUCUUAACAAUUGGGUUAAAGCACUCUCAAUGAAACAUGUGACCAAUAUUUGUUAUAACUUGCUAUUGGACAUUAUCUAUAAUAUCUCCAUUGUACGUAGGAUCAAACAUAGCUUAUAAUCCUAUUACCUUGACUUUAAUUAUUAAAUUAAUAAUUUAACAAUUAAAUAUCUAUUUUAUGAUAUUUUGAUAAUUUUUUAAUUUCAAUAUUAAGUUCAAUGAAACAUGGGACCAAUUAUUUUAUUACUUGCUAUUGGACAUUAUCUAAAAUAUCUCCAUUACAAAUAUUCAUAUGUAGGAUCAAACAUUGCUUAUAAUCCUAUUACCUUGAUUUUAGUUAUUAAAUUAAUAAUUUAAUAAUUAAAUUCUUAUCUCACAAUAUAAGAUAUCAAGACAGGAAAUUCAAACAUUUUCUUCCUCAAAAGAUUUUCAACCCAUAAAAAUAAUGAUAAAUGCUAUUGAGUCCAUAUUGGCCCAGUUAGAGCAGGCCAUUCUGGUGAGGGCUACCUAAAAUGUGGCAAAAAUGGCCAUUGCAAAUAAAAUUUAAGUCCAUUUCAGUGGUUGCGCAAAGAAACCCCAGAAGAGAAAUGAAGCAAAAAAACAAACAGUUUAUGUCAAUUUCCCUUCUUUUCUCCCUUGUCCCAAUUGUCAACGGGAUCUUACCUGAGUCUCCACCACAGAGUCUCCCAAUCAAACACUUUGUGCUCAUACAUGGGUCAUGCCAUGGCGCCUGGUCAUGGUACAAAAUUGUGGCGCUACUAAAAUCAUCUGGACACAAUGUCACAGCCGUCGACUUAGGUGCUUCGGGGAUUGAUCUACAGCAGGUCAGCAAUCUCCGAUCGAUAUCCGAUUAUCACCGGCCAUUGAUGGAGCUGAUGGCAUCUCUCCCGGCACAUGAGAAAGUGAUCCUGGUCGGUCAUAGCUUGGGUGGAUUGGCAAUAUCUCAAGCCAUGGAAAGGUUUCCUGAUAAGAUUUCUGUAGCUGUUUUUGUCACUGCCUUGAUGCCUGGACCAUCACUAGACAUUUCUACUCUCACUAAUGAGUCGCUGAGUAGGUCAGUUCCACUACUGGACAGCAGUUAUGUAUACAAUGAUGGGCCCAACAACCCUCCAACGGCACUCAACUUCGGGCCAGUGUUUUUAUCAUCCAUAAUGUACAAGCUUAGCCCAAUUGAGGAUUAUGAACUGGCGAUAACAUUAGUGAGACCAUUACGGUUGUUUAGUGAAGAAGACAUGGCAAAGGAGAUUGUUCUAACAACUGAAAAUUAUGGAUCGGUUCGUCGGAUUUUCUUGAUUUCCGAAAAAGAUGAGGUCUCUAAAAAGGAUUUUCAACUAUGGAUGAUCCAAAGAAAUCCACCAAAUGAAGUUAUAGAAAUAUUGGGAUCUGAUCACAUGCUAAUGAUGUCGAAGCCGAUUGAGCUUUGGGGUCAUCUGUUAAGUAUUGCUGAGAAAGAUUCUUUGACACUACCCUUGUAAAUGGAAGAUGCUAUGUGUUUUCCUCACCCCCCAUAUAGCAAUUUAUGGUGCGAAACCAGAGUUGCUUUUAGCUUUUAUUUUUUUUUUUUUU
rnacentral:misc_RNA from 1 species